rnacentral:rRNA from 1 species
GACGAACGCUGGCGGCGUGCUUAACACAUGCAAGUCGAACGGUGACGAGGAGCUUGCUCCUCCGAUCAGUGGCGAACGGGUGAGUAACACGUGAGUAACCUGCCCCAGACUCUGGAAUAACAGUUGGAAACAGCUGCUAAUACCGGAUACGAGACGGAGAGGCAUCUCUACCGUCUGGAAAGUUUUUCGGUCUGGGAUGGACUCGCGGCCUAUCAGCUUGUUGGUGAGGUAAUGGCUCACCAAGGCGACGACGGGUAGCCGGCCUGAGAGGCGACCGGCCACACUGGGACUGAGACACGGCCCAGACUCCUACGGGAGGCAGCAGUGGGGAAUAUUGCACAAUGGGCGAAAGCCUGAUGCAGCAACGCCGCGUGAGGGAUGACGGCCUUC